CGCUCUCUCGAAAAAGCUGGAACCAGCUUGUUCCACCUAAGGGACGAAAACGCCAGUUCCCACCUCUCUCCUUUUUUUGUUUGGAUACAAAGGGAAGGAUAAGGUCUUAUUCUCCCCUCUUAUAUCCAAACUAAACAACACCUAAACGUUUUCUCCUUCUUAUUAAAGUUAUAUUUUGAAUGUCGUUGUGGAAAACUACCGCCACGAGAGCCACUUCGAGCUUAUUGAAAGCUAGGUUUGCUAGCAUGCUCUUGCUACUAAUUGGAUGAAUUGAUUUCUUUGGUCACCUUGGGCUGGGUGGCUCGAAGCCUCGAACGAGAAUUGGAGUCAUAUAUGUAAUUCGUGUUGGAUAUUAAUUUGGGCUAAACUGUAGACAACAGCAAUGCACUAGAAGUUGAUUAUACUUCUAGAAAAACAUGACUUCACCCAAGGAAUGAGAAUCUCAAAGAGCAUAUUCAAAAAUAACUUGGAGAGAGAAAAUUAAUUAUUCAACGUUAGAGGUUUAUAUGUUUUCUCUGUUUUAAUUUGUUUUCAUAUUCUAAUUACAAGAGAAGUACCAUUGAAUUGCGGAAUUUCAGA